rnacentral:rRNA from 1 species
AACGAACGCUGGCGGCGUGCCUAACACAUGCAAGUCGUGCGAGAAAGUUCCUUCGGGAGCGAGUAAAGCGGCGCACGGGUGAGUAACACGUAGGUAACCUGCCCCCCAGUCUGGAACAACUAGAGGAAACUCUAGCUAAUGCCGGAUGAGACCACGAUCCCUUCGGGGGUUGCGGCCAAAGAUGGCCUCUACUUGUAAGCUAUCGCUGAGGGAUGGGCCUGCGGGCCAUUAGCUUGUUGGUGAGGUAACGGCUCACCAAGGCUGUGAUGGCUAGCUGGUCUGAGAGGAUGACCAGCCACACUGGGACUGAGACACGGCCCAGACUCCUACGGGAGGCAGCAGUGGGGAAUAUUGCGCAAUGGGCGAAAGCCUGACGCAGCGACGCCGCGUGGGUGAUGAAGGCCUCGGUUGUAAAGGACUCUUUUUGUCCGGGGGACGGAUGAUGACGGUACCCGGAC